rnacentral:lncRNA from 1 species
UUUCCUCCCGUUCUUUUCUUCUAUUCUUCUCUCUCUGUUUCUCUUUUUUUCUUCUUUUUCUCUAUUUCCUCAUCUUUUCUUCUUCUUUUCCUUUGCUUGGCUGUUUCUUUUUCUUCCUCUAUCCUUCUUUUUUCCUCAUUUCUUCUUCUCUCCAAAAGCAACCAGAUUCAUCUUCUUAAAACAACGCGUUGAUUCGUAGAGAAUUUGACAGUGAGACUACUCUCCCUUGAGAUGAGUUGGAUUCCUAUGUUUUUAGCACAAGCUUUGUUCUUGUUGAGAUUUUGUAAACGGGUAUCAUGGGAGAGCGCCCAAAAAUCCAUUCUUCUGCCUCUCGUUGAAAACAGUAGUAGACCCAAUUUCCAGCACCACUAGUCAAAACUGAAAUCCGAUUGAGUUGCAUGCAGCUCGUCAAACUCCUGUGAUCAGAUUCAGAUGAGUGAGUUGGUAGUUGGUAGUUUCUAUGCUAAGUUGACAGCAAACAAACCCAGCAGCCCAGCUUCACUUCAUCAAACCCAGCAUUCCUUCUAAGAGGAUGAAUCUAGUUGCUUUUGGAGAGAAGAUGAAAUGAGGAACAAAGAAGGAAAGAGGAAGAAAAAGAAACAGCCAUGAGAAGGAAAAGAAGAAGAAAAGAGGAAGAAAGAGAAAAGAGGAAGAAAGAGAGAAAAGGAGAAAAAAAAAAGAAAAAAAAGAGAAACAGGGAGAGAGAAGAAGAAAAGAAAAGAACGGGCAGAAAGAAGAAGAAGAAAAGAAAGAGAGAAGGGAGGAAAUAAAAAAUAUUUUUUUUAUAUAAUUUUGGAUUGAUUUGACUAUUAUAUUCUUGGAUUUAACAGUUUUUUUGACGGAGGGACUAUUUAAGAGCACCUAUAUUAACGUUAGGGACCAUGAGUGAUACAAAAAAACUUUAAGGAUGCAAUGUAAUAGUUUCGCAAACGUUAGAGACGUUUUGUGAUAAUAAGUCUAUUUCAAAUUAGUACACGGUUCCAAAUAAAAGAAAGAAAAUUAAUAUAACUCGGUUUUGAGUUGUCAAAUAAACAAGAGGACAAAUGG